rnacentral:rRNA from 1 species
ACGGGAGGCAGCAGUGGGGAAUAUUGCACAAUGGAGGAAACUCUGAUGCAGCGAUGCCGCGUGAGGGAAGAAGGUUUUCGGAUUGUAAACCUCUGUCUUCAGGGACGAAAAUGACGGUACCUGAGGAGGAAGCUCCGGCUAACUACGUGCCAGCAGCCGCGGUAAUACGUAGGGAGCGAGCGUUGUCCGGAAUUACUGGGUGUAAAGGGAGCGUAGGCGGGGCUUUAAGUCAGGUGUGAAAUGUAUGGGCUCAACCCAUAAACUGCACUUGAAACUGAGGCUCUUGAGUGAAGUAGAGGCAGGCGGAAUUCCUAGUGUAGCGGUGAAAUGCGUAGAUAUUAGGAGGAACAUCAGUGGCGAAGGCGGCCUGCUGGGCUUUUACUGACGCUGAGGCUCGAAAGCGUGGGGAGCAAACAGGAUUAGAUACCCUGGUA